GCUGGGUGUGGUGGUGCACACCUGUAGUCCCAGCUACUUGGGAGGCUGAGGCAGAAGAAUUGCUUGAACCCGGGAGGUGGAGGUUGCAGUGAGCAGAGACUGUGCCACUGUACUCCAGCCUGGGUGACAGAGCGAGACUCCAUCUCAA
rnacentral:SRP_RNA from 2 species